UGGGGAAUUUUCCGCAAUGGGCGAAAGCCUGACGGAGCAACGCCGCGUGAGGGACGAAGGCCUCUGGGCUGUAAACCUCUUUUCUCAAGGAAGAAGAUCUGACGGUACUUGAGGAAUAAGCCACGGCUAAUUCCGUGCCAGCAGCCGCGGUAAUACGGGAGUGGCAAGCGUUAUCCGGAAUUAUUGGGCGUAAAGCGUCCGCAGGCGGUCUUGUAAGUCUGUCGUUAAAGCGUGGAGCUUAACUCCAUUUAAGCGAUGGAAACUGCAAGACUAGAGUGUGGUAGGGGCAGAGGGAAUUCCCGGUGUAGCGGUGAAAUGCGUAGAUAUCGGGAAGAACACCAGUGGCGAAGGCGCUCUGCUGGGCCAUAACUGACGCCCAUGGACGAAAGCCAGGGGAGCGAAAGGGAUUAGAUACCCCUGUAGUC
rnacentral:rRNA from 1 species